rnacentral:lncRNA from 13 species
CGUUUGAGUGUACAUGAACCCAAUCAUGAGUCAAGGCAGCAGUGAGAGCUGACCGUUUAUUGGUUGCUGGUGGUGCGUUGGCAUCACGGUCAAUUAUCACACAUUGCUCGAGCAGCACUAAUAAUUGGUUUGCUUACAUUCAACGUGUGUGUCAAAGCCAUCAACAUUCCUACCCGGCUAUACUGUGCACGAUCUGGGUGUACUUACUGUGCACUAUUUUUGUGUUUGAAUUUUUCUUGUACAUUGUGAACAAAUCAGAUCAGGGAUGAGCCAACGUAACCAUUAAGCAGUUCAUCGUAGAUUACAUGCGUUAGGGCGGGCUACGUAUUUGGGUUAUGUGUGAUAUGUGGGCCUGUGUUG